AUUUUGUAAAGGCUUCUAAGUAAUAUUAUUUCAUAAAAUUGCCUCUGAAUUAUUUAAUAUUAGAGUGAAAAGCCUUAAAAUUUGGAUAUUUCAUUUUAGGCAGAAAUUGGUAAAAUUAGGCUUGUACCUUAAGAGGAUAAACAGUUAUAUCAAAAUACCCUUAAAGUUUCACCUUAUAGCAAAUAGCAAACCAAAUACGAUAUGGCACACCCCUGUUAGUGGAACUAGCUAGCUAGCCUGUCACCAUGGCUACUGCAUGAGAGAUUCCGCUGUGACAUCACACACCUGACCAUUCUAAAGCAACAGUUACAUCAUUCAGGACUCAGUCUACAGUUUGGAGUCACAACUGUUGGAUCUUCAGAGAAACCCUGCUGGUAUCUGCUGUAUCAGUUAAGAUGUCUGAACUGAACUCAGUCAAAGACACGAGUCUGAACCAGAAGACAGAAGUUCAGCGCCGGAUUAAGAUUAACCGGCAGAGCUGGGACAAGUUCCAGCGUGGGCAAUUCAGCCGUCCCAAAAGGAACGAGAAAUACGCCCACAAACCUGCAGAAACAACACUCUCUGUUACUGUUGACUGUGAGAAAAAUCAGCCAACUACUACAGAGAUAAAGAACAGACUGCAGGAUGAGGUUAAAGAUCAUCAGGUGGAGCUUCUUCCAAAGAAGAAGACGGUGGAAGAGACUACAAGGAGACGUGAGAACCGUGAGAAGCUCCUCUCCAGAAAGAGAACCACCUGCAUGAGGAAUCUGAAGAACGUACACAAGGAUGCUCCACAGCUGAAAAGGGCCAGACUGGAGCUGGAGAAAGGUGCAUUAUGGGAAAUAAAGACUGUCGUUAUCACCAAGGGCCUGGCCAUCGCUGAUGUUCCUGGUUGUCUGUCUGAUGAACGAGUUCCUGUGGAGCGAAGUGAUCUCAUCCCCUGUACUUGUGAUGAG
rnacentral:lncRNA from 1 species